rnacentral:rRNA from 1 species
AGGAUGAACGCUGGCGGCGUGCCUAACACAUGCAAGUCGAACGUCCUGUCUCGCAAGAGGCAGGGAGUGGCGGACGGGUGGGUACCACGUGGGUCAUCUACCGUGAGGUGAGGAAUACCGGCGAGAAAUCGCCGACAAGACCGCAUAGCCUCGGUGCAAGCCGAGGAAAGCUCUUUCGAGAGAGGGAGCGCCACACGAGGAGCCUGCGCCCGAUUAGCUAGCUGGUGGAGUAACGGUUCACCAGGGCGACGAUCGGUAGCUGGUCUGAGAGGACGAUCAGCCACACUGGGAUUGAGAACGGCCCAGACUCCUACGGGGGGCAGGCAGUGAGGAAUUUUCGUCAAUGGGGGCAACCCUGAACGAGCAACGCCGCGUGCAGGAAGAAGGUUUUCGGAUCGUAAACUGCUUUUCUCGGGGUAAGAGAACGGACGGUACCCGAGGAAUCAGCCCCGGCUAACUACGUGCCAGCAGCCGC